CCUACGGGAGGCAGCAGUGGGGAAUAUUGGACAAUGGGCGAAAGCCUGAUCCAGCCAUGCCGCGUGUGUGAAGAAGGCCUUCGGGUUGUAAAGCACUUUCAGUGGGGAAGAAAGCCUUGGGGCUAAUACCCUCGAGGAAGGACAUCACCCACAGAAGAAGCACCGGCUAACUCCGUGCCAGCAGCCGCGGUAAUACGGAGGGUGCGAGCGUUAAUCGGAAUUACUGGGCGUAAAGCGCGCGUAGGCGGUCUGAUAAGCCGGUUGUGAAAGCCCCGGGCUCAACCUGGGAACGGCAUCCGGAACUGUCAGGCUAGAGUGCAGGAGAGGGAGGUAGAAUUCCCGGUGUAGCGGUGAAAUGCGUAGAGAUCGGGAGGAAUACCAGUGGCGAAGGCGGCCUUCUGGACUGACACUGACGCUGAGGUGCGAAAGCGUGGGUAGCAAACAGGAUUAGAUACCCGAGUAGUC
rnacentral:rRNA from 1 species